AUGGAUCCAAAUUCAAGUUAUUUGCUAAAAAUCAAAUUGUUUGGCAAUAAAAAGAAAGCUCGAAAAGACAUCUGAUGUUUUUGUUUUGAUAAGGUAAUUGAUUGUGACUUGACAAACUAUAAGGAUUUGGUUGAAUCAAUUGUAGAGCAGUACCCUCCGGGUUAUAUGGAAGCUGCACAUGUGCGGUACUAUGAUGAUGCUUUAAACAUUCCAGAAGUAAAAUCUGACCAAGAUUUAAUGCUUAUGUUUGAGAAACACUUAGAGACAAAGGUGUUGCAUAUUAGUAUUGCAUAUUGUGAUCCGUCUGAACCAUAUGAGCCUAUCAACGAGUGGCAUAGUGAUGUGCAUAGCCAACCUAAUGACAGUACAGAACAAGAGGAUGAUACUUACAUUCGCAACCCAAGAUCAGAGAAUAAGCAUGUUAGUGUUGAUGAGGAGAAUAUGUAUGAAGUGGAUGAACCUAUGCCCUUAAAUGUGGUUCUUUGUCCUAAUAAAGAAAAGGACAAAGACUUUGUUUUUGAGGAUGACAGCGAGGUUGAGAGUGAAGUAGAGGAUGAUGAAGUAGAGGAGGCUGGAUGA
rnacentral:rRNA from 1 species